CUGAUGAACGCGUCAACCUCCGACACAUCUUCAAUUUACAAACGCGACAUCAUGCGCAAGAUUAGUUCACGGGAUCACCACGAAGGUUAUCACGAUCGAGGAAAUCCAGGUUAGGUUCCCCAGCGGCCGCCAUAUUGGUGAAACGGACGGGGCAACGACUCGCGUAGUGCUGCGACACUCGCUUGACUCGUGCGGUUUGACUUUCGUACGACUCACGUAGUACCAUGGUGGAAGUAACAAGGUGUGCUAUUACCUCGGACGAAUUUCGUCACGUUCCGCGCAGCACCAAGUUGUCGCCAUUUUGCAAAUAGCAACCAAUAGCAACGCGAUAAUAAAUGUAAACGAAAGUGUCACGACACAGGUUAUGCACUGUUUCAGAGUCUCGCACAUCGCACGAUGCCGUCGUGUUCGUUUAAACAGUGUAAAAACACGUCACGAAAUAAUAAACAUGUUAGGUAUUUUUCAUUUCCAAAAAAUGAAAAAAUGAUUGCGCAGUAGAAAAGACUUUGCAAAGAAAAUGUCAAUGCAAAGAACGGUAUGUAUAUAUGCAAUAUUGAAAGGUGGUAAAUGGAAUUUAACAAAUUAAAUAUAAUAGAAUAUAAUAAAA